AAUCACUUGAACCUGGAGGCAGAGGUUGCAGUGAGCCGAGAUCAUGCCAUUGCACUCCAGCCUGAGCAACAAGAGUGAAAAACUCCAUCUCAAAAAAAAAAAAAUUGAAAUCCUGUCUUCUGAGACAAAAGAUGGUUACCAGACAUUUCUCUGUGUUUACUUUGUUAGGAAGCUUUGUCCUCUGUUGUGUAAGAAACAAGAAUACUGUUUACCUUGAAAUUCGCUGAGCACUGUGUCUGCUAGUG
rnacentral:lncRNA from 1 species